GGGGGACAAAACCUUCGCGUUUUUUGCUCGAAAAGUGGUCAAUGCUUUUCAGUUUUCGCUCCAAGGAGGGUCAAAACUUUCGCGUUUUUUUGCUCGGAAAAGUGGUCAAUAGUUUUCAGUUUUCGCUUCAAGGAGGGUCAAAACUUUCACGUUUUUUUGCUCAGAAAAUGGUCAAUAGUUUUCCGGUUUCGCUUGAAGAAGGGUCAAAACUUUCGCGUUUUUCGAGGGGUUAGUUCACCAAAAAUCCGCCACAUGGCGCUAGCUGU
rnacentral:misc_RNA from 1 species